rnacentral:misc_RNA from 1 species
AAGUCGUAACAAGGUUUCCGUAGGUGAACCUGCGGAAGGAUCAUUAAUAAAGGUUGUCGAGUAUUACUAGUUAUUACUCGACAUUCCUGAUCAUUCCCUCUGUGCACUUUCGAUAAAUGCUUUGGUAGAUUUUUCGAAAUCUACCAAAAGUUUUAUUUAAAGCCUUAUAUGUCUGAAAUAAAAAAUUUAAUUCAAAUACAACUUUCAACAACGGAUCUCUUGGCUCUCG